AGUGAAUGCUGGCGGCAGGCCUAACACAUGCAAGUCGAGCGGCAGCGGGUCCUUCGGGAUGCCGGCGAGCGGCGGACGGGUGAGGAAUGCAUCGGAAUCUGCCCUGUCGUGGGGGAUAACCUAGGGAAACUUAGGCUAAUACCGCAUACGACCCACGGGUGAAAGCGGGGGAUCGCAAGACCUCGCGCGAUAGGAUGAGCCGAUGUCCGAUUAGCUAGUUGGCGGGGUAAAGGCCCACCAAGGCGACGAUCGGUAGCUGGUCUGAGAGGAUGAUCAGCCACACUGGGACUGAGACACGGCCCAGACUCCUACGGGAGGCAGCAGUGGGGAAUAUUGGACAAUGGGCGCAAGCCUGAUCCAGCCAUGCCGCGUGGGUGAAGAAGGCCUUCGGGUUGUAAAGCCCUUUUGUCCGGGAAGAAAUCGUCUGGGCUAAUACCCCGGGCGGAUGACGGUACCGGAAGAAUAAGCACCGGCUAACUUCGUG
rnacentral:rRNA from 1 species